UAUUUGUUUUUAUCAUAUGUUUAGUAGUAAAUACAGUAGUUUUGCAUAUGUGAUAAAUAGCCUGCUGUUUAAUCCAUAUCGCGCAACUUUGAUGCGCACCCUUUAUCGCAUACCCUUUAUCACACCCCUACUUUUUUUUUUUUUUUUUUUUGGUUUUUUUUUGCUUAAGAAAAAUUUUCCUCAAAAUAGGUAAUUUUUUUGAAUGACGUCAUUGUUUGGUAUGUGACGUCACGAACGUCGAGUUUUCAUAUUGUAUGUGACGUCACGAACGUCAAGUUUUCAUAUUUUUUGGCACACUAAAUGCAACUAUGAAAAAUACAAAACACACAUAAACAAAAUAUUUUUAAAACAACAGCACGCAAAUUGUAAGGUAACC
rnacentral:lncRNA from 1 species